UGAAUACUGAUUGAAAAGUGACAGCUUGAACCGUUAAGUAAUGGAACCCAUAAAAUAAAGGAACAUAAUUUUUACGGAACAACAGCACAGAGUCACUGACGCCGUACAGUGCGCACCGAACGCGAUCUUGCUGCUGUGGAGCAGAGUAUCGUAGAAGACUCGAAUGCAGAGCAGAGAUCAUCCAUUUAUGGAAGGUUUUGCGGAAGGAUAUUCGUUUGUGAGUUUACAAAAUCCAACUCAUGGAAGAAUUGAGAGCGAACGACCCUCAUGCCAAUCGCACGUUUUUCACAUUUUCACAAAAAAACUUCGUUCAGCGAUGAAGUUCACUUUUGGUUCAAUAGUAAACAAAUAAUAUCUAACUAUUCUGCUACAAAUAUUGGGAAUCAUUGCUUUGACCACACAUUCCAUAAAAUCUGUUAUAGUUUACAGGCAAUUAAACAAAUAAAAAUACCAUGGCCCGUCAAUGGAGGUAAAUAUCGAUUAUAAUGCGAUUAAGAGAUACAUAUGUAUAUGAAAGGUAAAUUUAUGUUUAAAUAUGUAUUUCAAAAGUAAAAGAAAUCUAAUUAGCCCUAGAAACUGACAGUUAGGUAAUUAGCUGUUGAUUAAGUAAAUAAUUUGACAAAUAAUAUGAGUCAUUUGGUCAAAAUGUGUCAAGGAAUUUCGAUAAAUUACUGUAAUUAUGAACACAGAUCGCUAUAAAAUUGUACGCCGCUCACUUAUAUUAUUUUGACGAUGCCGAUUUUUUGAACAGUCUCUAUGAGCAG
rnacentral:lncRNA from 1 species